rnacentral:rRNA from 1 species
CCUACGGGAGGCAGCAGUGAGGAAUAUUGGUCAAUGGACGAGAGUCUGAACCAGCCAAGUAGCGUGAAGGAUGACUGCCCUAUGGGUUGUAAACUUCUUUUAUAAAGGAAUAAAACGAGGCACGUGUGCCUUUUUGCAUGUACCUUAUGAAUAAGGAUCGGCUAACUCCGUGCCAGCAGCCGCGGUAAUACGGAGGGUCCGAGCGUUAUCCGGAUUUAUUGGGUUUAAAGGGAGCGUAGAUGGGUUGUUAAGUCAGUUGUGAAAGUUUGCGGCUCAACCGUAAAAUUGCAAUUGAUACUGGCAGUCUAGAGUACAGUUGAGGUAGGCGGAAUUCGUGGUGUAGCGGUGAAAUGCUUAGAUAUCACGAAGAACCCCGAUUGCGAAGGCAGCUUACUAAACUGUGACUGACAUUGAUGCUCGAAAGUGUGGGUAUCAAACAGGAUCAGAUACCCGUGUAGUC